CGGGGAGUAGCGCAGUUUGGCUAGCGCGUUUGAAUGGGGUUCAAAAGGCCGUGGGUUCAAGUCCCACCUCCCCGACCA
rnacentral:tRNA from 4 species